AAAUUUUACAAAUUUCGCUCUCUCCUAGUAAUAUUUGUUGAAAUUUGAUUUAUCUUUGCAAGUUUCUGGAAAUGAGAAUAAUAUUUGCAUAUUCGUAGAAAAAUAUGAUUAGUAUUUGCAAAUCUGUUUAAAUAUUGAAGAAAGUUGUGUAAAUUUCAAGGAAUAUUGCCUUCACUGCAAAGUUUUUAGGUAAUUCUGUAAAAUGUUUGCAAAUUAUUGCAAAUUUUGGAAAAAAUUGCAUUCGGAUCGCAAAUACUUCACAAUUUAAGCCUUGCUUUUCAAAUCAACUGGAAUUUGAGGUAUGAGAUGUACAAUUUUUUGUCAAUUUUUUUGUUAAUCCUAUUUUCCUCAAUGCUUUCAGUUGCUGGUUUGGUGAGAUUUGGUGUCGAUUUGGACUCUUUGGCGUGGAUUUGCCUUUUCAAUGUUUGGAUAGGUUUGCACUUUGCUGGCUUCAACCUGCAUGUUGAAUUAUAUCUGUAUGUUUUGGAGUGGCGCGCUAAUCAUUUGGUUAAAAAGUUGGUGAAUGGACCUGCUGUCUAGCAUUCCAUUAUGUAUUUUGGCACCCGAAGGAAUUUGAUGGUGUUUUACGCUGAAGGCUGACUACAAGAUUUCAUUUUAGCACUUAAAUUCAAGUCAUUUCACCCUCCUUUUUCGCAGUGACUUUAAUCCUUGAAUUUCUACCUCAACAGAUUGAAUUUCUACCUCAACUUCGACGUAAAAGCUUAAAUUUGGUAAGUGUGAAAGCCUAGAUCUACAUUUUAACAUGAGAAUUUGUAUUGGCGUCUAGAUCCAAUCUCUUUUUUAAAUAUUGUGGCAUCAAUGUUGGGUGGCAAACUUGAAAUUGUCUUUGAAGUUGGUUUUGUAAAAACUGCUAAUUCAUUUCCUUUAAACCUGUGAGCUCUUCUGUGUUU